AACUAUUAAACGGCUGAUGAAAACCAUUUCUAUUCCCCAGCUAAGAAUACAACCAGAAUGGUUAGCUGGUGUAUGUGUUUGACGUUUUAAAUGUCUUUUAUUGUAGAGUUUUAUUGCUGCAAACCACUACUUUUGACACUUUUUUUAAACGACAAAGCAGUAUAUAUUUCUAAUAAAUAAAGUGAGUGAGGGUGGGCAACUGUGCCUUGGGCUGCAGGGGGUGGACAGACUUUUGCCUUGCCCAGUCAGGACCUCCCAAGAUGGGAAGAGCUUGCCGGCAUCCCCAGGAGGGGAGACCCUCUGGAAACAGGCCUUCACUGCCCGCUUUGCUCCAGGCACCUAUGGGCCAACCAGGGAGAGAUCUUGGUAAGGUGGGGGGGGGACAUGAGGGCUGUGGGGCAACCCAGCUGUGAGUCUGCUGCCUGGGGGCCAGAGCCAAACCCAAGAUGGAAUUGUGCCCCUUUCGGCUUUCCGCUUCAGGGAACAUGUGACACAGCCCUUCCAGAAAAGGAAGUAUAAAAUGCGUGUUGGGUGGGAGAGAUUCUGGCGGUGGCUUUGAUAUUUGGGGAGGGAUUCCCCCCCCCAAAAAAGUGGCACGACAUACUUCUCAGUAGCCUUGGUGGGUCCAGCAUCCAUUGUGUGUGUCUCAUCACCUGAAGAAGCCAGGGAGGGGAGACAGGCUAGUAGGGCAGUGUGGGAGAGUGGGUACAGCUCCACAUGAGCUGAGGCAGGCAAGGGAUGCUCAGAGCCACAAAGAAGAGCAUUCAGUGCAGUUGGGCAUUUCAGUAUCACCUGGCCUCCCUCUUAGUCACUUUUGAGAAGGUACUCGCCACUCCCCGCAGACCCAAACACGAAUGAGGAUGGCACGGCCACGGUCAAGCCAACCCAACAGCCAGCCGAGACGUCAACUCUUGCUUUUACCUUAUUUUCCAGAUGAGCUGAGGCACACAGAGCUUUCCUGCCCCCCCCCACCGCUCCUAUCGCC